rnacentral:rRNA from 1 species
GACGAACGCUGGCGGCGUGCUUAACACAUGCAAGUCGAGCGGAGCGGCGAACGGGUGAGUAACGCGUGAGUAACUGCCCCCCUCUCUGGGAUAACAGUUGGAAACGGCUGCUAAUACCGGAUAGUGGGGGAUGACUCGCGUCCUAUCAGCUUGUUGGUGGGGUAGUGGCCUACCAAGGGGACGGAGGGUAGCCGGCCUGGGAGGGCGACCGGCCCCAUGGGGCUGGGAUACGGACCAAACUCCUAUGGGGUGCAGCAGGAGGGAAGAUUGUACAAUGGGGGAAACCCUGAUGAAGAAACGCCGCGUGCGUGAUGACGGCCUUCGGGUUGUAAACCGCUUUCAGCCAAGACGCGGUAGUGGCAGAAGAAGCACCGGCUAACUACGUGCCAGCAGCCGCGGUAAUAC